GACGAACGCUGGCGGCGUGCUUAACACAUGCAAGUCGAACGGAAAGGCCCUGCGUUUGUGGGCUGCUCGAGUGGCGAACGGGGGCGUAACACGUGAGUAACCUGCCCUUGACUUUGGGAUGACUUCAGGAAACUGGGGUUACUCUCAGACAGCAGCUCCUCCUGCGUGGUGGGGGUUGGAAAUUCUCGGCGGUUGUGGCUGGACUCGCGGCUUAUCAGCUUGUUAGUGGGGUAGUGGCUUACCAAGCCAUUGACGGGUAGCCGGCCUGAGAGGGUGGACGGGCACAAUGGGACUGAGAGAGGGAGCAGACGGCUAUGGGAGGCAGCAGUGGGGAACAUUGCACAAUGGGCGGGAGCGUGAUGCAGAAGCGCUGGGGUUGUGAUGACGGCCUGUGGGGAGUAAACCGCUUUCGGUUGAUACGAAGCGUGAGUGACGGUAAUGGGUAAAUAAGCACCGGCUAACUACGUG
rnacentral:rRNA from 1 species